rnacentral:rRNA from 1 species
UACGGGGGGGGGCAAGCGUUGUUCGGAAUUACUGGGCGUAAAGGGCUCGUAGGUGGCCAACUAAGUCAGACGUGAAAAUCCCUCGGCUUAACCGGGGAACUGCGUCUGAUACUGGAUGGCUUGAGUUUGGGAGAGGGAUGCGGAAUUCCAGGUGUAGCGGUGAAAUGCGUAGAUAUCUGGAGGAACACCGGUGGCGAAGGCGGCAUCCUGGACCAAUACUGACACUGAGGAGCGAAAGCCAGGGAGCAAAGCGGG